AGUGUAGGCGGCUACUUAAGUCGGAUGUGAAAUCCCCGGGCUCAACCUGGGAAUUGCAUUCGAUACUGGGUAGCUAGAAUUUGGUAGAGGUAAGUGGAAUUCCGGGUGUAGCGGUGAAAUGCGUAGAUAUCCGGAGGAACAUCAGUGGCGAAGGCGGCUUACUGGACCAAAAUUGACGCUGAGGCUCGAAGGCGUGGGGAGCAAACA
rnacentral:rRNA from 1 species